rnacentral:tRNA from 1 species
GCCUCGAUAGCGCAGUAGACAGCGCGCGAGUCUCAUAAUCUCGAGAUCGUGAGUUCGAACCUCACUCGGGGCA